AUGUGACAACAACUCAAGAUAAAAAAAAAAAAAAAAUCACCAACAUUUUGCAGGGGAAUUGUUAAAAAUUGAAAAGUUAGCUGUUCAUGAAUUAUUUGCCAUUUUAAUGCAUUUGCAAACCACCACCACCCCGACCACCCAAAAAAUAUAUAAUUUUGGAAUGAGGCUGUAACUGUAAUACAGUGUAACUGUGGAAAAAAAAGUGAAGCAUUAUUAAGACUUUCCCGUAAGGCCCUUACUGCAGUACAAACUUUCCACCAACAGAGGGUACCGAUAGGCUAUAAAACGGUCGUGAUGGCGGCCGCUCAUUCUCGAUCAUUAAAAAAAAUAAUAAGUUUGCGAGGUGGAGUGAAAAAAAUAAAAAACGAAGCGAUAGGAAAGACCUUUCGACUGGCGAUCUUCAGCUCCGCCCCCCACAACCCCCUUAGCUACAGUUGCCAUCGCCCACAAUCUUCCAAAAUGGCGCCUGAACAGAACAAAUUUGAAGUGGAUUCUCUAUCGCGUAUUUCCGGUAACACUGCGGUAUGUUUUUUGCCAAAUGUGCCAGACUUGACCAAGACGCUUCUACAGAGAGGUCUCAACUGUUCCACGGAAUUAAGAUUUUGGACAGAGCAGGACGCAAUGUCAGAGUUACAGCGAAAGGUUGGCGAUUGAUGCAAAAAAGUUUGACGCCUCACAAACUUCAUAUUGAAAUCCAACAGGAUAAAAUAGUGGAAUCGUAAUGCGAAUGCAAAGCAGGAGCAGCGAGGCCAUCAUUAAACUGGUCCCAUUCUAUUUACCACUGUGUCUGUGUGAGUACCUGAAGUGGGAGGUUGGGCACGAUGCAAGUGACUCCAAAGCCCACCAGGAGUAAGUUGGUAAAGAUGAAGGCUCGAGUGGAGUUGACUAUCUUCUGAAUAUUUUUGUCCGGCCGACGAGGCUGGCCAGGGUCCCUGGUAGUAAACAAUUACGCAAUCUUUCAGCCUCCAGUCCAUGAUGUAGCCAAUCACCGGGGAGGUCGCCAGGCACAAUAGCUGUAGCACGCCGAAGAUGGAUGUGUAUGUGCUUACUGAGAGACAAACAGCAGAGACGGUCAUUGGUAAACUGAAGCCCAAGCAAGUUGACAAAGCGCGAGAGAAGUGAUGACACCCUGGACUGGUCAGCAGCCAAUUAGAGGGCACGUGCAGACAAACGGGCAUCCACACUCUCCAAUUUAAGCGUAAUUGAAAUUCAUGUCUGACAAAUCCCACAAG